GGAAAACCAUAGUUCAGCGGUAGAGCAUCUGCUUUGCAUGCAAAAGGUCCUGGGUUCAAAUCUCGCCAUCUCUA